rnacentral:rRNA from 1 species
AGCGAACGCUGGCGGCAGGCCUAACACAUGCAAGUCGAACGAACCUUUCGGGGUUAGUGGCGGACGGGUGAGUAACACGUGGGAACGUGCCUUUAGGUUCGGAAUAACUCAGGGAAACUUGUGCUAAUACCGAAUGUGCCCUUCGGGGGAAAGAUUAAUCGCCGUUAGAGCGGCCCGCGUCUGAUUAGCUAGUUGGUUGAGGUAAUGGCUCACCAAGGCGACGAUCAGUAGCUGGUCUGAGAGGAUGAUCAGCCACAUUGGGACUGAGACACGGCCCAAACUCCUACGGGAAGCAGCAGUGGGGAAUCUUGCGCAAUGGGCGAAAGCCUGACGCAGCCAUGCCGCGUGAAUGAUGAAGGUCUUAGGAUUGUAAAAUUCUUUCACCGGGGACGAUAAUGACGGUACCCGGAGAAGAAGCCCCGGCUAACUUCGUG